rnacentral:rRNA from 1 species
UAGGGAAUCUUCCGCAAUGGACGCAAGUCUGACGGAGCAACGCCGCGUGAGUGAAGAAGGAUUUCGGUUCGUAAAACUCUGUUGUUAGAGAAGAACAGCGCAUAGAGUAACUGUUAUGCGUGGGACGGUAUCUAACCAGAAAGCCACGGCUAACUACGUGCCAGCAGCCGCGGUAAUACGUAGGUGGCAAGCGUUGUCCGGAUUUAUUGGGCGUAAAGCGAGCGCAGGCGGUCAAUUAAGUCUGAUGUGAAAGCCCCCGGCUCAACCGGGGAGGGUCCUUGGAAACUGGUUGACUUGAGUGCAGAAGAGGAGAGUGGAAUUCCAUGUGUAGCGGUGAAAUGCGUAGAUAUAUGGAGGAACACCAGUGGCGAAGGCGACUCUCUGGUCUGUAACUGACGCUGAGGCUCGGAAGCGUGGGUAGCAAACAGG